rnacentral:rRNA from 1 species
GACGUAGGGUCCGAGCGUUGUCCGGAGUUACUGGGCGUAAAGGGCGCGUAGGCGGCUCUGUGCGUCACCCCGUGAAAGCCCCCGGCUCAACCGGGGAGGGUCGGGUGAAACGGCGGAGCUGGAGGCAGCGAGAGGCUGGUGGAAUUCCCGGAGUAGUGGUGAAAUGCGUAGAGAUCGGGAGGAACACCGGUGGCGAAGGCGGC